GAGAUGUGGAUCAGAGCCCGGCGUCG
rnacentral:piRNA from 1 species